rnacentral:rRNA from 1 species
UGGGGAAUCUUGCGCAAUGGGCGAAAGCCUGACGCAGCGACGCCGCGUGGGGGAUGAAGCAUCUCGGUGUGUAAACCCCUUUCGACUGGGACGAAUGCCUCGCAAGAGGAGUGACGGUACCAGUAGAAGAAGCCCCGGCUAACUACGUGCCAGCAGCCGCGGUAAGACGUAGGGGGCCAGCGUUGUUCGGAAUUACUGGGUGUAAAGGGUUCGUAGGCGGUGUAGCAAGUCGGGAGUGAAAUCUCUGGGCUUAACCCAGAGGCUGCUUCCGAAACUGCUGUGCUGGAGUGUGGGAGAGGCGCGUGGAAUUGCAGGUGUAGCGGUGAAAUGCGUAGAUAUCUGCAGGAACACCCGUGGCGAAGGCGGCGCGCUGGACCACUACUGACGCUGAGGAACGAAAGCUAGGGGAGCAAACAGGAUUAGAUACCCUGGUAGUCCUAGCCCUAAACGAUCAGGACUUGGGGUGCCACCCGUUCGGGUGUCGUCCCGGAGCUAACGCGUUAAGUCCUGCACCUGGGGAGUACGGUCGCAAGACUG